rnacentral:rRNA from 1 species
CGCUGGCGGCGCGCCUAACACAUGCAAGUCGAACGAGAGAUGAAGAGCUUGCUCUUCAGAUCGAGUGGCGAACGGGUGAGUAACGCGUGAGGAACCUGCCUCGAAGAGGGGGACAACAGUUGGAAACGACUGCUAAUACCGCAUAAGCCCACGGCUCGGCAUCGAGCAGAGGGAAAAGGAGUGAUCCGCUUUGAGAUGGCCUCGCGUCCGAUUAGCUAGUUGGUGAGGUAAAGGUUCACCAAGGCGACGAUCGGUAGCUGGUCUGAGAGGACGACCAGCCACACUGGGACUGAGACACGGCCCAGACUCCUACGGGAGGCAGCAGUGGGGAAUUUUGGACAAUGGGGGCAACCCUGAUCCAGCCAUGCCGCGUGCAGGAUGAAGGCCUUCGGGUUGUAAACUGCUUUUGUCAGGGACGAAAAGGACCGUGUUAAUACCAUGGUCUGCUGACGGUACCUGAAGAAUAAGCACCGGCUAACUACGUG